rnacentral:misc_RNA from 1 species
UGUUUAGAAACCCAAGUUCCUCUUAUAGUAUAUGAAUUUAUUUCCAACGGCACACUAUGGAGUCACCUCCAUGAUCAUUCAGAGGAAGAAUUUCUUCCUCUUCGAUGGUCUGAUCGCUUAAGGAUUGCUAGAGAAGUUGCUAUGGCGUUAGCCUACAUGCAUUCUUCUGCUUCUAUACCAAUUUAUCAUCGAGAUAUCAAGUCUAGCAACAUUCUAUUGGAUGAAAAACUUAGAGCAAAGGUAUCAGAUUUUGGGAUUUCAAGAUCAGUUCCAGGUGAAAAGACUCACUUGACCACUUUAGUUCAAGGUACCUUUGGAUACUUGGAUCCUGAAUAUUUUCAAUCAAACCAGUAUACAGACAAAAGUGAUGUGUAUAGUUAUGGGGUAGUUCUUGUUGAGCUUCUGACGAGGCAAAAGCCAAUUCCCAGUACUAUUAUAGAAGGAGAGAGGGGUUUAGCUGCUGAGUUCAUGUCAGCUAUAGAAGAGAAUCGUCUCUAUGAUGUUGUUGACCCUCAAGUUUUGGCUGAGGGAGAAGAAAGGGAGUUGAUUGUAGUUGCCAACCUUGCAAAAGAAUGCUUAAGAUUAAAUGGGAAGAGACGACCAACAAUGCCAGAUGUUGUAUUGGAGUUGGAGAAUUUGGAAAGAUCUCAAAACCAUCUACCUCCUAAGCACAACAGUUUUUGGAAUGAGGAUUACAUAGAAACAUCAAGAAAAUGGGAUGCUAAUUCAACACAAAAUGAAAUUAGAGGAUUCAUGAUGAUGAGCAGAAAAGAAUUAGAUCAAUUACCAUUACUUGAGGAUGAUGAUGAUGAUGUCUCCAAUGAGUCCUAUCAGCAUAUUACUACAUAAAUUGGAUUGUUGUUAGAAGAUUGAUAAUCUUUUCAUCCUUAAUUAAGAGGAACUUAUGU